UUGCGGGAAAAGUCCCGCGUGAAAACAGUUUGUCUGUGCAAGUGUUGGGCACUGAGCACGCGCGCAUGGGCAUACAGUGGCUGCAAGGCGUGCGUACAACGUGCACGUCCCAUCCGCACGCACGCACGCACAUUCCAUCUGUUGCCUUAGUUGGCGCGCCACCACCGUAGGUGGAGGAAAUUUUUCUCCCUUAUUGUUGGUGCCAUAAAUCUUUUCUCCUCUUUCUUCACCAGAUUUCACCACUUGACACGAAUUCAAUGGUUUUGAAAUUCUAGAAAUUUUCCUUCUGCGUCUGUUCUUUCUACACUUCCAAUUAUCCUAUUUCUCAAAGGUUUAGAG
rnacentral:lncRNA from 1 species